CCCUGUAAUCCCUUUUUCCAAAGGCUCUGGUGGGUCCUGCGGGAGGAUGAGCACAGCAGAGCAACGUUCUCCAGCACAACAGCCAGCGCCUACUCCAGAGAGGAGCAGACACAGUCUCUUUGUAGAAUGAAGAGAUCAGAUAACACCUGCAGAAUAAACGAGGCACGUCCUCCCUUGACUUACAGUGAAAGAGCUGAAAAGAACAUCAGGGAAGAACACUUCAGCGGUAAUCUAGACUACUGGAUCAUGGAUGCGUUCUUCAAACACGAAGACACAAGGAAACAAGACAGCUGAGUUUUUCGCUUCGUCAUGUAUGGUUUACCUUUCAAACAAGCAUUCUUCAAUACAAGUUGCUUCUCACCUUAAUAAAAGCUGCUCUCAGUGUCUGAGCUGCAGACAGAUUUACUCUUUCUAGCUGCAAGAGAAGUUGAGAAUUAUUAGCAAUUCUAAUGUUAUCGGAACAAAACAAGUACUCAUGCCUUGCCUUAUGCAGCAUAAUGAAAA